rnacentral:ncRNA from 1 species
UGCCUCACAAAAUAGUUGUGAGGGACGAGAAUUGUUGUCAACAGUUCGCCAAUCAGUGCUUUGACACAGGAUUGG